UGGCGGCACGCCUAACACAUGCAAGUCGAACGAAGUAGCAAUACUUAGUGGCAGACGGGUGAGUAACAUGUAGGUAUCUGCCCUUUGGCCUGGAAUAACACGAGGAAACUUGUGCUAAUACCGGAUAAGUCUUUACGGAGAAAGCUUUAUGCACCAUUGGAUGAGCCUGCACUUGAUUAGUUUGUUGGUGGGGUAAUGGCCUACCAAGACUGUGAUCAAUAGCUGAUUUGAGAGGAUGAUCAGCCACAUUGGGACUGAGACACGGCCCAAACUCCUACGGGAGGCAGCAGUGGGGAAUCUUGCACAAUGGAGGAAACUCUGAUGCAGCGAUGCCGCGUGAGUGAAGAAGGCCCUUGGGUUGUAAAGCUCUUUCGUCGGGGAAGAAAAUGACUGUACCCGAAUAAGAAGGUCCGGCUAACUUCGUGCCA
rnacentral:rRNA from 1 species